AGACAUCUUCCCAGAAAGCAUUUUAAGCAUAAGACCAGUAAGUACAAAGACCCUGAAGUAGAAGUGAAUUCCAGGAAUAAGGAAAAGACCAGAGUGGCUGCAAAGAGCCGGCAGGGGGUAGGGUAGAGAGGAAGGCAGGGAUCAGCUGCUGUAGGAUAUCUUACACCAUGAAAAGGAAUUUGGAAUUUGUUUUGAUAGCAACAGGAAGUGAAUGAAGGGUUUAAUGAAAAGAGGUGAUAGGAUCAGAUUGAUUUUUUUUUUUUUUCAAAAAAGAUCACUCUGGCUGCAGUGUGAAGAAUGGUUUGUACGAUUGAGAUAACACAUACGAAAGUCCUUUUGAAGAAAAAAUGGUAAGGCAAAAUCUAAAUGGAAACUGUAACUGUCAUUAUAUAAACAGCAAUGCAAUCUUCAAAAAUAAUCAUGCAUUGAAGUUUUUCAAAGAAUGUUAAAAUUUGGCACUAGUCAGUCAUAUGGUUUGUCCAUGUUCUGAAACACUGAGCAAUAGAUCUCUGAAACAGAGGCAAGAUGAAACUGAUGUUGGGCAUCGUUGGCUUGAGUCAUCAUUGGAAUUCACGCCAUCUGUGUUGCUAUAGCAGAUUAAGAAAGCCCAAACUCGAACACAGGCAAGUCUCUGGUGCUCAAAGCUGCGACCAUUUCAGAAUUCUGCCACCUAAGCUUUCCCAGUUGAAUAGAGAGGAAACAAUACUUUUAAAAAGAAAAGUCCAAACAUCCUCCUGUUUCAAAAAGAAGUGGCAUGAAUGAACUGAGAAACAGAAAAAACACAGCUUCUGCAUUGAGAAGGCACAACACUCCGUGACUUUAGAGAUCAAAGUCCACAUCAGUUGGGAUGAUUAAAACCCAAUUACUGACUUUCUGCAAUGAAAAAGUAGUAAAGUCUUGUACCACAGAUAAAUCCAAACUGAUUAAUAUUAUUCUGCCAAUCUCCACUCAGUUUCAGUAGUGACCAUACACCAUUAACCUAAAGCAAAUUUCACCUCUAAGGUGGCUGCUGAUGAUAAAUUUCCAAGGAUGUUCAGAUAAGACAGAAAAUGAAGGGGACAGUUUAUAAGUGUCUUUUAGGAAAUCACUGAUUUUGUUACUGGUCUUCGGUAAAAGCUAAAUAAUUCAACAGUUGAAGAACAACACGAGCCACACGUUAUGAAAAAUUGGAGUUCUUGGGUUCAAAAAGGCAAAUUACUAGAAGAAUGCCAGGCUUCAUAAAGAGACAGAUUUGAGUUUGAAUCCUGGCUCUCCUCCUUGCUAUUUGAGUGACUUGUGGAUCUUUAUAAAUGAAAGUCUUAUUGAUCAUCACAGCUGUUUGAUGAGAGGGUUAAAACAGGGUCAUGUGUAUAAGGCCCAUUGUAGGUACGCAAGAAAUGUUCAUUCCAUACUAACUUACCUCAUCCCUUUUUUCCCAAGGGCUUUCCAAAAGGAUUUAUGACUUGGAAAGACUCCACCUGCUUAUAAAAACAGAGAUGAGGUCUUCAAGGGGGUGGGAAUCCUUAAGACAGGUCCUUGAAGAAAUAUCCUAGGUCCCUAGGUUAUUCCUAAGAAAGGAUUUAAAUUUUAAAAGCAGCAAUAAAGGGUCUCGAAGCUAGUGGCUUAAAGAAAAUUACAAGCACUAAACUGAUUUUCAUUUCUAGACACAACUGGAGGUUUCCAUAUUUGAGGAGCUACACCAAGGCCAACGGAAAGGAUUGAGAGUAGCAUGCUGCUGAAAUAACCUCAGAAAGAUGCACAAAUAUGCUGAAGGGAAAGAAAGGCUUGGACAGCUUUUUGGAAAACAUUCUAUACAGUUUGUAACUUGCUGGUCCUCUGCAACAAUGAAGUCCCAAGGAAGCAAGAAAAAAGGGAAAGCUCAUCCUAGAUCUGGCUUUUAUUUCUGAGUCAAACUAUCAUCAUGACUGCCUAGAUCUUCAACAGCUCAGAGCUGACAAUGCUAUUCUCAGUUCACAGUGGCGUGUGUGCGUGUGUGUGAGUGUAAUGCACUCUUGUGUUCAGGCACUUGGGAGACUCUAGAAGGUCUUCAAAGUACUUGUCAUUUCUGGUAGAUGUGUUAAGUUGCAUCUUACAGACAGUACAUAUGACUUGUACAAAGCCGCUCAGAGAAAGCCUUGCCCAAAGCAGAAACACACUGCAAGAUUAAAGAAAACUAAUGUUCAUUUCAUAAGAUGGGAGAACUUCAAGAAGACACCAUAUAUUAGCUUGAAGAGAACAUACCUGCUUUAUUGCCAACAGUUGCUAAAGAGAUGAGAUUGAAGUCCAUGGAGAAUCCCAACAGCAGAAAGGCAUGAGUUCACUGGAAGCUGAUAAAGCAUGCACAAAUAUGUGACCGUGUGCACUUUUGUUUGAUAAAAUCACUGCCAAUAGAGUGGUGCUUAGGCUGCAAUAAUUGCAAUAUGACUAGAACAAUAUGAAGCCAAAAUGUCAGAAUUCCAAUUGUUUAAGCAAGGAAACAGUUUGUAAAUGCUCUGAAAAUUGGAAACCAUUAUUUUCAUGCAAUUCUGUUGGAAAUAAGAAUUAGAAUUUGAAUCACCAAUACAUAUGACCAUUUCAAGGGCUCAUGGAAAAGGAAAAUUGAACAUUUACUGAGAAAUUGGGUCACAAUGGGGUGUGAUGGGGAUUGGGAUGGAAUGAGAGGAAAGCAGCACUUUUUCACUUAAAUAUUUGAACCAA
rnacentral:lncRNA from 10 species